rnacentral:rRNA from 1 species
GACGAACGCUGGCGGCGUGCUUAACACAUGCAAGUCGAACGGAAAGGCCCUGCUUUCGGGGUACUCGAGUGGCGAACGGGUGAGUAACACGUGGGUGAUCUGCCCUGCACUUCGGGAUAAGCUUGGGAAACUGGGUCUAAUACCGGAUAGGACCGCACUUUAGUGUGUGUGGUGGAAAGUUUCUUCGGUGUAGGAUGAGCUCGCGGCCUAUCAGCUUGUUGGUGGGGUAAUGGCCUACCAAGGCGGCGACGGGUAGCCGGCCUGAGAGGGUGUACGGCCACAUUGGGACUGAGAUACGGACCAGACUCCUACGGGAGGCAGCAGUGGGGAAUAUUGCACAAUGGGCGCAAGCCUGAUGCAGCGACGCCGCGUGGGGGAUGAAGGCCUUCGGGUUGUAAACUCCUUUCGCUAGGGACGAAGCUUUUUGUGACGGUACCUAGAUAAGAAGCACCGGCUAACUACGUG